rnacentral:rRNA from 1 species
AGGGUUCGAUUCUGGCUCAGAACGAACGCUGGCGGCGCGUUUAAGCAUGCAAGUCGAGCGGCAAGGGCCUUCGGGCCCCUAGAGCGGCGGACGGGUGAGUAACACGUGGACAAUCUGCCCCCCGGCCCGGGAUAGCCCAGGGAAACCUGGAUUAAUACCGGAUGAGACGGGACCCGCGAUGGCGGGACCCGGGAAAGGCGCUGCGGCGCCGCCGGGGGAUGAGUCUGCGUCCCAUUAGCUAGACGGCGGGGUAACGGCCCGCCGUGGCGACGAUGGGUAGCCGGCCUGAGAGGGUGGACGGCCACAUUGGAACUGAGACACGGUCCAGACUCCUACGGGAGGCAGCAGCUAAGAAUCUUCCGCAAUGGGCGAAAGCCUGACGGAGCGACGCCGCGUGAACGAAGAAGGCCGUGAGGUUGUAAAGUUCUUUUCGGGAGGGGGAACAACCGUGGCAGGGAAUGGCCGCGGGAUGACGUGAAUCCCGGAAUAAGCCCCGGCUAACUACGUGCCAGCAGCAGC